AUUGAACGCUGCCAGCAGGCCUAACACAUGCAAGUCGAGCGGAUUAGGCUUUCUUGCUCAUGUAUUCAGCGGCCGACGGGUGGGUAAUGCCUUGGAAUCUACCUAGUCGUGGGUGAUAACGUCCGCAGACGGGCGCUAAUACCGCAUACAACCUGAGGGAAGACGUGUGGGAACUACGCACCCCACGCUAUCAUAUGAGCCUACGACGGAUUAGCUAGUCGGUGGGGUAAAGGCCUACCAAGGCGACGAUCCGUUACUGGUCUGAGAGGAUGAUCAGUCACACUGGAACUGAGACACGGUCCGGACUCCUACGGGAGGCAGCAGUGGGGAAUAUUGGACAAGGGGCGAAAGGCUGAUCCAGCCAUGCCGCGUGUGUGAAGAAGGUCUUCGGCUUGUGAAGCAAUGUAAGUUGGGAGGAAGGGCAGUAAGUUAAUACCGUGCUGUUUUGACGUUACCAAAAGAAUAAGCACCGGCUAACUUCGUG
rnacentral:rRNA from 1 species